AACGAGGCCGACCUGCGGCUGAGUUACCUGCGGAAGGAUCAUUACAAGUGACCCCGGUCUAACCACCGGGAUGUUCAUAACCCUUUGUUGUCCGACUCUGUUGCCUCCGGGGCGACCCUGCCUUCGGGCGGGGGCUCCGGGUGGACACUUCAAACUCUUGCGUAACUUUGCAGUCUGAGUAGACUUAAUUAAUAAAUUAAAACUUUUAACAAUGGAUCU
rnacentral:misc_RNA from 1 species